CCUACGGGUGGCUGCAGUAGGGAAUAUUGCUCAAUGGGGGAAACCCUGAAGCAGCAACGCCGCGUGGAGGAUGAAGGUUCUCGGAUUGGAAACCCCUUUUGUUAGAGAAGAUAAUUACGGUAUCUAACGAACAAGCACCGGCUAACUCCGUGCCAGCAGCCGCGGUAAUACGGAGGGUGCAAGCGUUACUCGGAAUCACUGGGCGUAAAGAGCGCGUAGGCGGGAUAGCAAGUCAGAUGUGAAAUCCAAGGGCUUAACCAUAGAACUGCAUUUGCAACUGUUAUUCUAGAGUAUGGGAGAGGUAGGUGGAAUUCUUGGUGUAGGGGUGAAAUGCGUAGAGAUCAAGAGGAAUACUCAUUGCGAAGGCGACCUGCUAGAACAUAACUGACGCUGAUGCGCGAAAGCGUGGGGAGCGAACAGGAUUAGAUACCCCAGUAGUC
rnacentral:rRNA from 1 species